GAUGUGUGCUCUUCCAAUGUCUUCAUGUCUAUUUCCCUUCCAGAUAGUUGCACCAGAAGAAAGCUGUUCUGUCCUACUCUCCUACUUUGCUCCUCUGUUAAAAUAAAAGCAGAGGUUGACUUAUGUCCCGCUCCUGAAUACAUGUAAAAUUUGUACAAAAAUAAUCUUCUAUGAAAAUAAUUUUAAUCUGUAGACAUUACUUGGGAGAUGUCUUGAGAUGUAAAAUCCCAUCCUUUGGGUUGAGGUUUUUUUUGUUUUUCUCCAAAUAAAUCCAGUCUUUAAAGUUGAAAA